CACAACAGCCCACAAAGCCUCCUUCCUCAGCUACACUUUUGCCAAACAUGAAUGAAGUGUGUGCUAAAUGCACAGCAACUAUAGGAGCGCUGUUACUGGGUUUGUCAGUACAGAACAAAAGGUCGGAAGAUUAUCUCAGAAGACAAACACAAAGUAGUUUCCACUGGGUUUGUUUCAGGAAGGACAAACUUGUAAUAAAAAUCAUUAAAAAGAGGUCAGGAGCCUGGACAUCCUAGUAAGGUAUCCUGGCACACCAGACUUGGAGGACACCCCAGGAUAGAGCCCUUAUCAGGCCUGGGAAUACCUCGGGAUCCCCCAGGUGGAACGGGACAGUGUUGUCGGGAAUACCCUGCUUAGCUUGUUGCCACUGUGAGAAGAUAGUGGAUGGAGAAAUUAUAUUUUAUUACAGCGAUUUGUAUUUAACAGAACAAACAAAGUUGGACGAGCUCUUCUGAGAGGACUGAAAAAAAAAAAUCUGCCACUUCACUAUCUGGGAGAUAAGUGCAGCUGUGAACAUGCUGCUGUCAGCUUUUGUUCAGAGUUUAAGAUCUGAAGAUUGAAGCUUUUUUCAACCGCAAAGUCCUGAUUCAGCGAGAAGGGUGGCCGUCCCGUCAGAAGAGCCCCGCUGAUCGUCGAGUACCAUAGCAAGAAAAAAGGAAACCUCCAGCGACAAAGACUUUCAUCAGCUGUCCUGCAGAGAGAACGAGACAAUUAUUCAUUAAUGAAUCUGCUCACAAACACAACAGUUUCUGUUUUAUUUCCAGACAAAAAUGUGAAAUAAGAAAAGCAAAUAUUCUUGCCACAUGCUGAUGAGAAUUCAGCAAAUAUGUGAAUGAAAUUUCUCUUAAAGCUGGAAAUUCAUAAUGACAUUCGUAUUGAUGGAGUUGGCACUAAUACACUUGAUUUUCUAUCUCAUUUCAAAGUAUAAGUAAAAUUAUUCCUAAUCUAAUUACAGCAUACGUGUGAGCGAUGUCCCCCAAUGGCAACAAGGGAAUACGGAUAUAGAGUAGAAAAUGUUCCUUACCCUACAGUCACGUCAUCAGGUUAAUUAUGUUCGCUGAGAAUUUAUCAUGUAAUUUGACUUAGUUUCAAUUAAAAUCCCACCUCCUAAAUGUUCCCAUUUCCCGUCUUCUUUGGCUGAUCUGAAAUGUAUUAUUUAAUUCCUCUGAGCGCCUGUUUCUCUGUGUCCAGAGGAGACAUGAAGGUUUUUUACUGUUUGCUGGGCAGGCAGCACUCAGGGCUCCGAGUGAGUAGCUAAUCCACCAGCUAUAAAGGUCUGGGUAACCUUUCUAACACAAUUUCACAAAAGACUGCUCUGUUUGUUCUGCUUGUAGAAA